CAUGGUUACAAACACCAUGUUGUGAAAUUAAUAAUAAAUGGUACUGUGUAAUCAAAAAAUCUGAAUUUGCAGACUAACAUUAUUUGCCAACUACUUGGCUAUGCAUAACUAAAUGUUUAAAUAAAAGGCUAAAGCAUUUAUGUAUAUACUCAUCCAGCAAAUAUGUUUUAUGGUCUCCUGUGUUCCAGGCAUUUAAAUAAUUUGUAGAAAGUCGUGAUUGCAAAGGUUUUCUGUUGUGUGCUUUUAAGCAUGGCAUGUAAUGUCUGGAGGCUUGUGUCCUCUCUUUCUAUGAAAAAAGGAGUUGUAUUAUAUUACCUGGAAAGGUCUUCCCACUUUAAACUUCUUUGACUUUUAUGAUUCCAUUCACUCCAUAUUUUAAUAAAUUUGUUCCCACUGUUUGGUAUCUUUAACUUGUGCAGAAAUCCAUUCUCUUGAUUAUAAAGUCUAAACGUGUGGCUGGUUCUUUGAUCUGCUUAAGGAUGCUCCCAGGCUUCAAGCUGUUAAAGUUUUCUGGGUCAUAGACUAAAUUUGGAAAAUGGCAAGAUUUUAAGCAGCUACUACUGUAAGAUUUACUACCAUACUUUCUGUUGUCCCCAAAUAGCCCUUCUUAACAUUUACCUUCUACUUCUGAAUAUGCCAUAAACAGUCCACUUACCUUUUCAAAAUUAACAGCUAUCGUGAGCACAUUAAAAGGGCACCAUUGUGAAGUUUGUUUUAUGUUUCUUUCCAUUAAAACAUAUUAUUUUCAACAUCUUGCUGUUUUACUUCUUUUCCCUGGUGUUGAGCACAAUUACCACAAUAUUCUUACAACUCUGCUUUAAAGCUCUCCUCCCAGCUGAAAGCCACACUACAUCGUUAACUCCACAAGGUCCAAUAACGUUUUCCCAAACAUGUUGUGACUGUCACCACUGGAGAGCAAUGCUUUUAGGGAAAAACCUGGAGUUGGUAUGUAGCACGUUCCUUUCUUUUAUGCUUUCCUAAUUUUAGAUAAUUAUUGAGUGAAGUUUAUUAGCUAAUUGUGUACAUGCUGCGGUAUUCAAGUACUUUCAUUUACGUAGUUGACGGUAACUAGAGUUUUCUUUGAUACAGGUAUUUUUCUUCAGAUUUGGGAGGAGAAACUGCACUCCACUAAUUGUGGUUACUGGAAGCCCAAUAUGGUUCUAACUAGAACUUAAUCAACUGUAGUUAUAACGGAAUUAUUCCAUGCACCUUGGAGAAUUAUAUUAAUUUUUCUCUACUAAGAUAUCAUCCAGUGGGAUCUAUACUGAAGUAUCCACAAACCAUGGGCACUAUUUUACCUGUAACAAGGGGAGCAAGUUGAGUAGCAGGAACUUGAACUACUUGAGUCAAAUAAACUCAAGUUCAAGUUGAGUAUUGUAACAUUUUAACAUUUCUAGUUUUGCUCUUCUCAGUGGUUUCAGGAAAAAAAUGACUCUUUGAUUUCAAUUAAAAUUAAUUUUGGGGGUGUAUAAUUGAAAAGCCCUUAGCUUAGCUUGAAUUGAUUUAUUGGUCACUAAUAAAUAAAUUUUAGAAAUUCAAUUUUCUUUCAUUGCCACCUUCAGUAAAUCUUUGUCACAUACUCUAUUUUUGGUUCAAGGUGCCAUUUGAUUUAAACGUCUGUGUGAGAAGAUCUCUUGGGUAGGGAUGAAAAUUUACUAGAUAGUUUUCAAACAUGUUCAUAAAUUCUCCAAAUUGUCCUUUAGCUCCGUACUUGCCAAUGCUCUAACUUGUUGGUCAUUUGGUAGUCUAAAGCACUCUCAAGACCAUGUCUCAAAAGUUAUUCAGAGAAGACCUAGGUUCCUGACCAAGAUCAUUGAGAGAAAGCAAAGUGACUUAAGGCAAAAAAAGGCAUCUAAUGAUGGUGGAGAUGAUAAUUCUUUAUCAUUUUAUGGAGGAGUAAUUGACGUAUAUUUAAAAUUGACAAUUUCAUCAUGAAUCCAUCGUUACUCCCAAACAUUUCCUCUUGCUUAGCUUUAACUCUCCUUCCCAUUUCUAACUGCUCUAUCCCCAAACAACCACCAAUCUGCUUUUGCCAUGAUAGAUGUGUGUGGUUUUCUAGAUGUUUAUGUAAAUAAAAUCAUACAGUAGGCAUUCUUUUUUUGCUCUGGCUUUUUUCUCUCAGAAUAGAUAGUUAAGUUUCACUCAUAUUAUUGUGUGCACGAAUAGUUCACUGCUAUUGCUAAAUUGCAUUCACCUACAUAGAUAUACCAUGAUGUGUUUAUCCACUCACUCAUUAAUGAUAGCCAGCACAAAAAUGAGAAACUCAGCCUUACAAUGACAGGGGAAGCAUUAGUUAACAUGAAUGAUCUUGGAAUAGGAUCUUGAGCCUUAGAUGAAGCUGUGCAUAUCAACACCUUGAUUUCAGUCUGGAGAAGCCCUACACAAAGGAUUCAGCUAACUUGAAAUCAGACUUCAGACCCAUGGGAACUGUGUGACAAUAAGUUUGUGUUGUUUUAAGCUUUUAUGUUUAUGGUAAUUUGUUACAGAGCAGAGGUCAGGAAAUGCUUCAGUGAGGAUUGGCAUAUGAAAAAGUCAAAGUCUGCUCAGGAGGUAAGAGGAAAGAGAAUAUUGUUGGCAGAGGGUGCAGCUUGUUCAAAUGCUUGUUGGUGGAUGGCCAGGGGAGCAUUCAAGGAGCUGGAAGAAAGACAUUGACUGGAGUGUAGCUGCUCAGAAAGAGACUGAAUUGAGAUGAGGCUGAAGAGGUAACUACGCCCUGUAAAUGUUUGGUCUUUUUGUUAAGACCACUGAGACUUCAGGAAGAAUUUUUAAUGUGUUGUAAGGUGGAGAAGAGAGUGGGAUGACUGUGAUCAGAUCUGCUUUUCUGGAAAGAUGACUCGAUCUGCAGUUUGGAGGAUAAACUUGGAGAGGGCAACGGUCAAUGUGGAAACCAGUUAGGAAUGCAGUACUAUAACCCUGGAGAUAGAAGUGGGCAAACACAGUUGAGCAUUAACAGUGGAGGCCAACAGUGGACAAAUUUGAGAAAUAUUUAGGAAAAGCCUUAGACAACCAUAUAGAGAUAGAGAGUUUCAUGCACUGAUUCAAAGCUGAAAACAGAGGUCUACACAGAGACAAACUCAUUGACUUGUAGAAGGUAAUUGAAGCCACUGAGUAUGUAGGAAACUAUCUAAGAUAGCAGAUUCUUCAACGCUUAUUUUCUGCAGGAUAAUAUUGCAAAGAAGACGUUUUGUAACCAGAGAUACAGGAAUAAAAAAGUGUAGCAAGGAGGCCAAGAAAAGAAUAUUGUAAAGAGAAUUUUGAUACAUAAAUUUUACUUAUACUUUGAAAUAUUUUCACGGUAUAAAUAAAUACUGAGAAGCCAAAUAAUAUGAGCUCUAAAGAUGUCAGUUGUGUUCUGAAGCUCUUACAAAGAACUGUUUGGAUGAGAUAAUACGGCUGGUGAGAAAAUAGAAAUAUGGUAAUACUGACAGCAUUUUGGAAAGGUUGUGAAAAAGGAUGGAGAGAGGCUUCUAGCCGGAGGAGAAAGGAGGUCAAUGAGAUUUUUGAAGUUUGUUUUGCUUGUUUGUUUAAAAAUAGAGAAGAUUUAAAUACCAAGGAAAAGAUCCAGUGAAGGAGAUCCUGGCUUAAAUCUGAAUGACAAAGAACUCCAAAGGAAGUCUGUGUAAUAAGUAAGCAAAUAAGUGAACUCAUUCAGAGCUUGGUGUUUGUUGUUGUAGUUGUUCUAUGAUUGGGGUUGAUCAAUUCACAAGGCACUACAUUUAAUAGCAGCUUCUGUCUUCUGAAUACUGUCUAAGCAUCUGUGAUAAUUAUUUAGGCUCUAAAAGGGGAUUGCUACUCCCCAGGAGCUCAAAAUCUAGUGGAUGAGCAGAUCAGUAAAGGCACUGGAAGGUUUGUGGAGUACUAAUGGAGGAGAAACUGGAGGAGAUUUCUAUUUCCUGGAGUAUUAUUAAAUGUUCCUUUUAAAGUUAAAUUCUUGACCCAAGAAGUUAAUGCAGUUUUUUUUUUCAUUGUUCCUGAUAUAUAUAAGAGCCAGAGCCAAAUUUCUAUCAUCACCAUCCUUAAAAUCAACUUGUAUCCAUGCUGCAUGGCAUUGUUAAGAAAGUCCUGGCAGUCAUCGUUUGUUGAUGAGCAAAUUUAUGUAUGCAUCAGCCCUAGCCACCAUACGUUUUUGUUCCAAUAGGACAACUUCAAUUUUUACUUUGCCAAGCUUCUAUUUUCCUCUUAAACUUUCUCUGACCAUUCAGGAUUCAGUGAAGGGUUGUCUAUACACCCUGCCCUCGGGGCAUGGGUGAUAUUGCAAAACUGCUGAGUAAUUGUUCACUGAAUCUCAAAAUAAAUGCAUGAAAAGUAUGACAGAACCUAUAGCUUUGAAAUAAGUGAGCCCAAAGUCUCAAUUUUAUAUCACAGAGGAGGAAGAACAAAUGAGGAGAUCCAAAGGUGGCCAGUCAGCUCUGGGAGACUGCCUAACUGCUACCAUGUAAAGCACCAUCUUUGCCAUUAUGAGGAAGCCCAGUGAGAAUCACAGCCGCUUAAAGAUGGCUCAGUGACCAAUCAAGGAUGCACUGAACUUUGUACAAGGAACAUCUUCUUUGUAACUGUGCAUUUGGAGUGGAUAAGCAAUGAGAUCCUGCUGUAUAGCACAGGGAACUGUAUCUAGUCACUUGUGAUGGAACAUGAUGGAGGAUAAUGUGAGAAAAAGAAGAUAUAUAUAUAUAUGUGACUGGGUCAUUUGGUGUACAGUAGAAAAUUGACAGAACACUAUAAACCAAAUAAACUAUAAUGGAAAAAAUAAAAAUCAUUAAAAAAAUUAAAAAUACCUACUAAUUUGUCAAAAAAAAAAAAAAAA
rnacentral:lncRNA from 1 species